rnacentral:lncRNA from 1 species
UUAGAAUUUUUAUUUCUGAGGGGUGUCGAUUGCCUUAACCCCAUACAGGGGAUCUAUUUUUCCCUUACCCAUAUGGUUUGAAAAUACAUAAGAGGACCGCUCCCUGUGGAUGACAACGUACCCUCUGACGAGAGUGGUGACAUGAAUAUCUGUUAGGGAUCACAUUUGGCUAAGUACUGUUGUGACUAUAGAAUAUCUUAUAGGACAAUUAUGGUCGAUACUGCUGUGGUCAUAGAUCGUACCAUAGUUUGACAAGCCAGAAAUAUGCAUGAGUAAAUUACUGUUAUCUGUAUCUGAUCUGGU